CGGGCUGUGGCGCAGCUUGGUAGCGCAUCUGCUUUGGGAGCAGAGGGUCGCUGGUUCGAAUCCAGUCAGCCCGA
rnacentral:tRNA from 5 species